CGAUUAGAAAUAAGGCAGUGAAAACGCAUUUCCGGUUUUUGUAUUACCGAUUUUCACGCAACUGCGUACCACCUCCCCCUAAAACCUACUGUAAGCCAGACCCGCUCGUCAUUCAGAUAAAUCGGAGGGACACGCGUAUCGAGUCGUGCGACCGGAGGACUCCGUAUGAAAGAAAAAAAAAAAAAACAACAAAACAAUAGCAAUUUGUAAGUUUGCAAAGUCAUAACGGAAAACAGUAUGACUUUUAAAAGUUAAUUAUAUUUUGAAAUUGCAACGGUGCACGGUGGACCUACGUUGCGACCGCUGUAACGAGAUCAAUUCA